rnacentral:rRNA from 1 species
CACGUAGUUAGCCGGUGCUUAUUCUGCAGGUACCGUCAUUAGUCCGGGGUAUUAGCCCAGACCGUUUCGUUCCUACCAAAAGUGCUUUACAACCCGAAGGCCUUCAUCACACACGCGGCAUUGCUGGAUCAGGCUUUCGCCCAUUGUCCAAAAUUCCCCACUGCUGCCUCCCGUAGGAGUCUGGGCCGUGUCUCAGUCCCAGUGUGGCUGGUCGUCCUCUCAGACCAGCUACAGAUCGUCGCCUUGGUAAGCCUUUACCUCACCAACAAGCUAAUCUGCCAUCGGCCGCUCCAAUAGCGCGAGGCCUUACGGUCCCCCGCUUUCACCCGUAGGUCGUAUGCGGUAUUAAUCCGGCUUUCGCCGAGCUAUCCCCCACUACUGGGCACGUUCCGAUGUAUUACUCACCCGUUCGCCACUCGUCGCCAAGGUUGCCCCCGCGUUACCGUUCGACUUGCAUGUGUAAAGCAUGCCGCCAGCGUUCAAUCUGAGCCAGGAUCAAACUCU